UCUAUGGAUAUCCACAUGAGACUUUGAUCUGAUCAGAAGCUUUUUGAUCUCUCUGGGAUGCUAAAUCUCUUAUAGAGAUCAUAUUUUGAUGGUUGAAUUUUUUUCUCUCAAGACACUUUUAGAGAAGAAGAAGAAUAUAAGAGGAUGUUAAUCUCGACGCUAGAGAUCAUGAGAAGAAUCCUUUCUUCUCUUUUCUUUCUAAAACCCUGCACUAAAUCUCUCACACCC
rnacentral:lncRNA from 1 species